rnacentral:tRNA from 1 species
GCCCGCAUAGCUCAGCGGCGGUAGCACUCGCAUGGUAAGCGGGCGGUCAUCGGUUCGAUUCCGAUUGCGGGCU